UGCUCUAAAACGUCCGGUGUGUUCCGGCCCAAGUGCCUGCUCAGGUUUAAAGGGGGUUUCUUUUGCUAGUACUUAAAAAAGUUAAAAAUAAUCACUACUAUUAAAUAGAUCUUUAGUGUGUUUUAAAUGGCAAAAGCACUUCACUCAGAAUUGGUGAUUCUGUUUCAUGCGUGUGUUAAGUGGGGAUAGGUUUGUGGCAAGAGUUGGAUGCUGUUAUCUUGCUGAAUGGAGAAAGUAUAAUUUACUACAUGAUCAUGCUGUGGAGCAUUUCACUGAGUUUCUUCUGGGUGCCUGGAUUUUGUGACCGUUUGGUGGCCUUUAAGAAGAGACUUUAUGAGAGUCAGUUUUGCCAGUACACCUCUGGAUAUAAAGAAAAUCAAAAUAUAAGUGAGCAAAAAUAAGCCCAAAGACAAAAGUGGCAAGGAGGAGAAAAAUGGGGGCUACAGUCUGAAGUUUUAUUUCAACAGGGUUAACAUAAACAUAGUGUUUUAAGCUUAAAAUGAUGGAAAACCCCUACGUAGAUCUUCCAACGUGGACAUUCCAACAGGAAGCUAUAAAGAGAAGUAAAAGUGACAGCACAUUAUCAGUGAAAAAUAAGACUAGGUUUAAAAAGAAUUACAGACGCUCUUCCAGGUGGCAGACCCGAGUCAGCCAGGAACUGUCAACCUGGAGAUGAAGUGCCUCGCUGGGUGGCCUGCGCAUCAUGUGUGAUGAGGGAAGUGCUCCUGCUGUCACUCAGUCAUGAAUUCCUGUGCGUGGUGGGUUCCAGCAGUCAGCCAGAGGCUAUCAUCAAACUUGUUUUGCUUUGUAUUAAAUUAAACUCACUAGAAACAGUGCAAGGUCAGGAAAGGCAGUUAUCAAGGCCUUCGACCUCUAAGACUUUACAUUUGCUGUGAGUAGACCUUAGCAUGCCAGGAGAAGUUUCUCAUCAAAACCCAGCUUCCAUCAGCAAAGACAGGAGGAAGCCAAGUCAGGACCAGAGCCCCCUCUCUCCUGUAGACGGAGGAUACAUUCAGGAACUCAGAACCUGGAGGAGAGAAUGUUCAAACCAGAAGGCCCCUGGAAGACUGUGCCUGAAACGCGGCUAAGGCACCACCAGGCUGAACAGAAAACGGGGGCCUUAUCAGAGAGAAGGGAAGGGCCCCAUAGUCCAAACGCCCAGGAGGCUCCGACCUGACCCGCGGCCACGAGUGUUUGCUGCAGGACGAGAAUCUGGGGAAGAUGCAGCCAAGAAAAUGGCCUGGCCGGGCCGGGAAGAGCAGCCCACAGAGACCCGCAGCACAGAGAGGGAUGCGGGGAGCCUGCCCUGGGAGCCACCCCGGCUGAGGCUCAGGAGGGGAGCUGCGAAGCCUGAAACCCAUCGAUGAUGGCUGGUGAUGAAAACAUGUGGGUGGACCUGCUUUGAUGGCGAGAUGGACAGGUCUGAGCUCACACAUCCUCGGGAAAACAAAUAAAACUCUGUGGAAAUGGACAUGAGACACUGGGCCCUCAUUCCCCAACUUGUAGAGAUGACUGAGAAAAGCUUCCAGAAACUCGAGGACAUCACAACUUCCAGCUGGGUCAAACUCAGGGUGCUGUGAGGCCUGGGCAGAGAGACCCCCAGGGUUUCCCAGGGAUGGCGGAGUCUCUGGAGGAAGGAGACACCAUGAAGAUGGGGAUGGAAGCUGCCUGCCCCAUGGAGAGGGGAGGGGGCCGGCCACUCUCACCCCUCGAACAAAAACCGGGUGGAACCUGAGAGGAGCAAAGAAACAAACACAACCCUCACACACCUCAGGACACACACACAACACCUCACACACCUCAGGACACA
rnacentral:lncRNA from 1 species